GUCAGUGGUUUUGUUUCCUUGA
rnacentral:miRNA from 1 species